UGGUUGCACAAUGACACGUCAAGUUGUCCGACUAUUAAGUUAUCAUCGUGGAAUUGCUCAGCUGGAUCCUGUAACAUAGCUCGCCAUCAGUUAAGCAACUUACCUUUCAUGCCAGCACAAUGUCAAUAGAAAGUAUAUGUUAGUUGAGAGGGUUAAAUACACACCUUCGCAAUAAGUACUGACCAAUAUGAAUAAUGACAUUGUUCACAACCUACCAAAAGAUGACACGUUUCUUCAGUUAAUUGGGAUAUCCACCUAAUAAAUAAAGCAGACAUAUGUGCUGGUUAUUAAUAAAAAAACAUCAUGCCACAUGUUCAAAGAACUUUAUGACAGUUAUGAGGACUUUACAUUAUUAAAAUACCAGCUAUCUCAAAAUAAAAUGUACAACCAAACAGCGAUUCAUUGUAACUAUAGGACACCUUCACACGAGAGCAGCGUUAGAGUGGACGAGCUCGCCUGCUCCUCUUAUAUGUACCAAUGGAAGAAAGGCACAUGAGGACAGCAAUAAAGGCCGAUGAAAAUAGUGGCUUGAGGGAACAGGACACAUGCAGCUGUGGGCCCAUGUGUUUGGGCAGACAGACUGAAUCAUUGCCGUCACCGUAAGUUGCCGUGUACGUUUGGUACAGCACUGCAAGAUGAAGAUUGGCAUUAUUAACUCGUUAUUAAUCCAGACAAAAAACUCAUUAUUUGAUGCAAAUAUUGUGCCGUCAUGCUACUAGUACUGCUAGUAUCCCAAGCAACGAGCUCAUAUACAUAUCGACUCCGCUGUGGCAGGAACUGAACUUCCCAUGUGUUUUCUGUUUUUGAAAAUUCAUUUCACAAGAUCAAUAUUUCUUAAUUUCCCAUGUCACAAAAACAAAUGUACCUACAUUUUCUUAGGCACACGCAAAUAAAAACCAAGAAAUGUCGUUGUAUACAUGUUAUGUACAAAAAAAAAAGAAUUGCCAUUAUCCAUGUAAAAAACUACUCCCUUUGUAAAGAAAUAUAAGAUCAUCUAGAUCACUAUAUGAUUGAUCUAAACGAUUUUAUAUUCUUUUAUGGAGGGAGUAUAUAAAAAGUGGACAUAAAUAAAUCACAGAGCAAAUUUGCUAUCGCAAAAGAUAGGUGUCAAUAAAUUUGCCACAGUGUGUUUGAAAAUUUGUCAUGGUAAGCUCAAUAAAAAUGAUGUGGAUAAGAAAUUUGUCAUGUGUAGGGAAGUGUAAGAAAAUUCGAACAAGUGACAUGGCAAAGUUUUUAUGAAAAUGCCAUGCACGUGUCACUAGAUUAUUAUUUUUUCUUAAAUUUGCCAUGUUGCAAAUGAGUGUGGCGAUAAGCUGGACGAGUGCGUCUACUCAUGUUAUCUAGUCCAGUGGUACAACUUGGGAUGCGAGUGGUAUUUCGGCGAUAUGCUACGUGGUGGGUCCAUCACCAGCGAUACUAAUAGUUUAUAUUUACCCGUGUUGCUCGCACAUAGGACGCUUUAAUAUUGGCGUCGACGUAUAUGCCAACGUGAAUCCCGUCACUAGCGUGCUCAAGCAAGGACGAGCGCUCCUAUGAAUAUUCGGAUGGGUUUCCCAUUAUAGUAUGAAACCUGCUUAUAUUUUUUGCGACCACAUAGUUCUAUAGUGCCAUAAUUUUCUCUCAAUUAUAAUGUUUUUUUUCUUUGGUAAAUUAGAAAGCAGGACAUCACAAGUAUGUUCAUGCCAAUCAAAAAUUUAUAUAGUUCGAAAUUUCAUUUCAUGAUGAAUUUGUAAAUAGAAUACAUGUUUACGAAGUCAAAUUAACUAAAAAAUGUGUGCCCUACUUAUAGACCAAACCAGAAAGAGUAUCUCCGAACAAUAACCAAAACUAAUAAUGUACGGGUUCUGCUCAAUUGCAAUUGUGAUUACCCAAGAAUUAAUUAAGUUGCGCUAUUGAACGGGCAUCGUGGACAUACAUGGCAUGGACGUGUGUCUAGAUUAGAACAUGCAAAAAUCUUCUCUCUUUAAAAAUCGAUGGACGUGUACUAUCCAGCCUUCGACGGCGGAGAAUAAGCACCAGGUUCCAGGAAUGAGUCAGUGGUACACGUUGGUACAGGACGUCAACGAACAAACGUGGGCUGUUACUGUGGGUCCGCCUGUCACCUAUUUGGGCCAAGUACUUCACUUUUCACACAAUCAAUGCCCUGACAAUACCUAAAUUAAACGAUCUUACGAAUAUUCGACCUUCACACUGAAUAGAAAAGAUGGUUAGUGAACUAACCUUGAGAGCACCUUUGGCAGCGCAAUCAGAUCCUGCAUUUCUUAAUUCUCAUGUCUCAUACAUUCCUAAAUUAAACGAUCCAAAUAUUGAAAACUAAACAGUCUCCAUGGAUAUUGAGCCAACUCUAUCUCUUUUGAGAAACUUGACUGAACACUGCAGAUACAGUUACAAUACAUCAUUUCUCUUUAAUUUAUUUCGGCAAAAUUUUGGAACUGUCAUUUUACUAAUUUUAUUAUUCCGUUAGUACAUCAAUUCAUUUCACUUCAUUCUUAGUAGAUGUACACUCCUUGCAGAUUGCCAUAUCCAUCGGUAUAGAAACUGGCAUCGAUAAAUCAACAGCUUGUAGUUAGCAAGAGAGAGAAAGAGCAUUGGAAUGGAGAGGGGACGGGGAGCAAAAUCACUGAACAGAGACAGGGGAGAGGGGUGAUAGAAGAGGAGUAGAAGCGGAUUACCUACAAAGUUGCAGGGUUGUCGCACAGAAUAAGGCAACGCGGACUGUGCGCCGCUACUUUUGUCUAAACAUCAAGCGCCGAUGCCGAUCACCAAUCCAUGGUCAUGCCAUUAGUUGGACAUGCCACCAUCCCAAUUAACCACGCGCGACACGAAUGGUGAAGGGGGAGCAUCGGGGCCAAUCAAGACGAGGGAACGCUGCCACAGCAUCAACCCGCGUACCGGGGAGGAAG
rnacentral:lncRNA from 1 species